CUUUUCUGCUUAAUUGCUCUGUGGUUGUUCCCACUAAGAUUCUCCCUUCUCACUCCCUGACUCUGUGACCACCCUGGGCAGGUGAUAUGAAAAUUCAAGCUUUAUGAAACUCAACACUUCCCCCCUUGCUACUGUUUGGAAGCCUUGUCAAGAGGAGGUCAGCCACCAUCAUAUGUAAUUUCAAAGCUGACCAAAAUUUAUCAUCUAUGUGUUAAGAGAUCCUGAUACCUACAGAGAUGGAAAAGAGAGGACAUCUGGUCCUGGUGACUCCCACGCAUCAAGGCAAACUGAUCCAGAAAGCUCAAUGCCCAAAUGGCUCAACUAUUUUACUCUAUUUUUAAGAGAACAUCUAAAAUCAGUUUUCAACAUCAUAAAAAAUAAAAUAAUGUAUGAGACCAUAUUCU
rnacentral:lncRNA from 1 species